ACGUGGCGGCUCUCGCCUGGGCUGUUUCCCGGCUUCAUUUCUCCCGACUCAGCUUCCCACCCUGGGCUUACCGAGGUGCUGUCGCCUCUGUCCCCACCACUGCAGCCAUGAUCUCCUUAACGGACACGCAGAAAAUUGGAAUGGGAUUAACAGGAUUUGGAGUGUUUUUCCUGUUCUUUGGAAUGAUUCUCUUUUUUGACAAAGCACUACUGGCUAUUGGAAAUGGGCUUCUUUCCUGUCAUCGUUGGCUUUAUUAGAAGAGUGCCAGUCCUUGGAUCCCUCCUAAAUUUACCUGGAAUUAGAUCAUUUGUAGAUAAAGUUGGAGAAAGCAACAAUAUGGUAUAACAACAAGUGAAUUUGAAGACUCAUUUAAAAUAUUGUGUUAUUUAUAAAGUCAUUUGAAGAAUAUUCAGCACAAAAUUAAAUUACAUGAAAUAGCGUGUAAUGUUCUUUACAGGAGUUCAAAAACGUAUAGCCUACAAAGUACCAGCAGCAAUUAGCAAAGAAGCAAUGAAAACAGGCUUCUACUCAAGUGAACUAAGAAGAAGUCAGCAAGCAAACUGAGAGAGAUGAAAUCCAUGUUAACGAUGCUUAAGAAACCUUGAAGGCUAUUUGUAUUGUUUUUCCACAAUGUGCGAAACUCAGCCAUCCUUAGAGAACUGUGGUGCCUGUUUAUUUUCUUUUUAUUUUGAAGGCUCA
rnacentral:sRNA from 1 species